CACUGCAUACUGCUGAAGCUAAGGGGGUGGGAGUGGGGUCACCACCAUUGAAUUCACAAACCUGCCCCCCUCCAUACGCCCCCAGUGACCUCCAAGGACUAGGGCCAUGACUGCUGUGCCACAGACUACCGCAGCAGAAGAGGGUUUUCUAUUGCUGUAGGAACCUCCCCAGGCAACAGUAGCUAGGUUGACAGAAGCAUUCUUCCUUCUUUACCAGAAGUUAGGCCGGUAGCUAUGGUGCUCAGGGGUCUGGAUUUUUCACACCGCUGAGUGGCUCAGCUAUGUUAACAUAUGUAUUAAGUUUCAGAGUAGCAACCGUAUUAGUCUGUAUUCG